UGUUUGUAGCUAUAAACAGGGGACAGAUUCAGAAAUAUACAAACAUGCCUAGUAACCUAUUUCCUAGAAUUGCAAUGCUCAACUUCCAAUUAACCUCAGAUUUACAAGACUAAUCAGACGCUCCAGUCCGUUCCCACUGUGUAUCAUCUUUCACUUGACCUAAAUCUGUAGCAAACCUCAGGAAGUACACUCCUUUGUGGAGCCAGUCACACCGCUGGAUGAACCCAGCACGGGGCUGUCACGUCUGCAAACAUAGCUAGCAGUUUGCGAGGGGACUGUCUGUGUGCUUCAGGUUCAAGGAGGACUUUGCUGACCACGGGAUGUGUUCCGUGUUCCUAGGAGGCUGGGCUGAGUCACUUACCUUUGUCCCCAGGUUCUCUUGGAAGUUAAUAUUGGCAGACAUUUAUCUACCAGCCGCUGGGUCAGCAGCAUUCCACCAAGCCCUCCCCUCCAUCUUCACAAAGGGGGAGGAGCCAUUAGGAUCACUCUCAGGCACAGAGAAGUGAGGACACGGCACACAGCAACCCCUCGGAACACAGCUGGAGAGUGUCCCGGGAAAACUAAAGCUCCAGAAUACUGCGGUCACUCGGCUAUCGAGGGGGAAUAAUACAAGAACAUUCUUCCCUUGAGCCGUGGACUCCAUCGGGAAGAGGACCAGGCCCUCAGGCUGGUGCAGGAGGCAGAUUCACCUGCUUUCCUUGGUCCCAGGGCAGCUGCAGGCAGAGUGCCGUCUUCAUCCUGACUGGUCCCUUCGUACUCGACGCCUACCGACAGGUGCCUCACAGGACCACAGGAGGCGGGGCAGGCGGAAUACCUCUCUCCUUGGGCCUCCUGCUCCAAGUGUGCCUAGACUCUAAAACGGCUUGUGCUAUUGUUUGAAUGUGUGCCCCCAAAUUCAUGUGCUAAAAACUUUCGCCCCAGCGCAGCAGUGCAGAGAAGAGGCAGCUCUAAGAGGUGGUUAGAUUAGGAUUCCGCCUUCGGGAGGGUGUUAAUGCCAUCAUGGGCGGUGGGGGGCCAUUACGCAGGAGUGCUCCUGAGGAAAGGGGGAUUUCCACCCUUCUCCCUCUCACACCUGUGCUCUUUGGCUCUCGUGUGAUGCAGCAAGAAAGCCCUCAGCUGGGACUUCCCAGAGUCCAGGCCAUGAGUCAGCUAAACUUUCAUUGCUCAGAAAUGACUCAGUUUGUGGCAUUCUGUUAUAGCAGCAUGCAGUGCACUGAGACGGCUUUCUUGGCAGAAAAAGCAGAAUAUCCAGAGUCUAUCCCCAGAUGCCGAGCCAUUCUGCGGCUCCUUACGCACCACAAAUGGUAGGAUCAAAACACCAGACCUAAAAUUUCCCAGUGAAGUUGAUGGGGCUCAACCCCCGUUGGCCGGGUGCCUUGGGUGCUCAGCCAUCUCCUACUCCUCCUUCAGUCACUCCACCUUCAGCUCAUUCUGUCACCCUGCUGUCAGAGUCUUGACGUCUCUGGUGCUCUACUCCUGCCUGCUUUCUCCACCCAGGCCCAGCUAUGUACCUUCCCAGAGACCAGCUUCCUCCUGAAAAAGGUGACACUACGGCUUCUGGUCCUUUUUGCUCUCAUACUGCACACAGAUUGUCCUCUGCAAACUUGAUCCAGGCUGAUUCCCUGGACACUGUUUGGAAGGAAGGGCCCCUGACCAGAGGGAGCUCUAGAAACAAACACAACUUUCUUGUGGAGCUGCGCGGCCAGCUGCCUUUCUGCCCACCUCCAUCCUUGUGAUCCAGGGGUCCACGCCAGACAGUCCUGCCUCAGCCACCCUCACGAUUCCAAGGGGGAAAACAAAUCUACAGAAGGGAGAGAGUAUUUCAGUGAGAGGAUGGGGCCUGGGGAGAGAAAUAGGAAUGAGAACUGGUUUGACCAGAACUCAUGCUUCAAGUUGGAGUUUUCAAGUGUUUCAAGGAGAAGGAUCAGUGGGGUAAAAGUAUUAAAGACCAAUGUUAAGGAAUUUGGAAUCCAAUAGUUAAAAACCAUUUGAGAUAGUUUUAUGACAUUACUUAUAUUAACAUUGUUAUUUACUGAGAAAAAAUGUGUAAGAUAUUUCACUACGAUUGAUGAGUGUUUAUGUUCCUUGAAGUUCUGUUUAAUUGUUUUAUUUAUUUUGAGACUGUGUUAUUCAUUGCAUACAGGUUGAGAAUUACUAUAAUUUCCUUAUGAAUUAACCUUUACCAUCAUAUAGUGGCUACCUUACCUGAAAUAAUGAGUUUUGUCUAUAAAUCUAAUUCAUAUGAUAUUAAUAUUUUCUUUUGGCUAGUACUUAAUUUUCUUUUGGCUAGUACUUAACCCAGAGUAAAAUAUUCCCUUUGUUGCUGGACCAUCUUGGAAA